AGAGUUUGAUCAUGGCUCAGAUUGAACGCUGGCGGCAUGCCUUACACAUGCAAGUCGAACGGUAACGCGGGGCAACCUGGCGACGAGUGGCGAACGGGUGAGUAAUGCAUCGGAACGUGCCCAGUAGUGGGGGAUAGCCCGGCGAAAGCCGGAUUAAUACCGCAUACGACCUACGGGUGAAAGCGGGGGACCGUAAGGCCUCGCGCUAUUGGAGCGGCCGAUGUCAGAUUAGGUAGUUGGUGGGGUAAAGGCCUACCAAGCCUACGAUCUGUAGCUGGUCUGAGAGGACUACCAGCCACACUGGGACUGAGACACGGCCCAGACUCCUACGGGAGGCAGCAGUGGGGAAUUUUGGACAAUGGGCGCAAGCCUGAUCCAGCAAUGCCGCGUGCAGGAAGAAGGCCUUCGGGUUGUAAACUGCUUUUGUCAGGGAAGAAAUCUUCUGGGUUAAUACCUCGGGAGGAUGACGGUACCUGAAGAAUAAGCACCGGCUAACUACGUGCCAGCAGCCGCGGUAAUACGUAAGGUGCGAGCGUUAAUCGGAAUUACUGGGCGUAAAGCGUGCGCAGGCGGCUUUGCAAGACAGAGGUGAAAUCCCCGGGCUCAACCUGGGAACUGCCUUUGUGACUGCAAGGCUAGAGUACGGCAGAGGGGGAUGGAAUUCCGCGUGUAGCAGUGAAAUGCGUAGAUAUGCGGAGGGACACCAAUGGCGAAGGCAAUCCCCUGGGCCUGUACUGACGCUCAUGCACGAAAGCGUGGGGAGCAAACAGGAUUAGAUACCCCGGUAGUCCAA
rnacentral:rRNA from 1 species